CGUGAGUAACCUGCCCUUGACUCUGGGAUAAGCCUGGGGAAACCGGGUCUAAUACUUGGAUACCGACGUCCCUACCGCAUGGGUGGGGGCGGUGGAAAGGGGUUUUACUGGGUUUUGGAUGGGCUCACGGCCUAUCAGCUUUGUUUGGUGGGGUAAUGGCCUACCAAGGCGACGACGGGUAGCCGGCCUGAGAGGGUGACCGGCCACACUGGGACUGAGACACGGCCCAGACUCCUACGGGAGGCAGCAGUGGGGAAUAUUGCACAAUGGGCGGAAGCCUGAUGCAGCGACGCCGCGUGAGGGAUGACGGCCUUCGGGUUGUAAACCUCUUUCAGCAGGGAAGAAGCCACAAGUGACGGUACCUGCAGAAGAAGCGCCGGCUAACUACGUGCCAGCAGCCGCGGUAAUACGUAGGGCGCAAGCGUUGUCCGGAAUUAUUGGGCGUAAAGAGCUCGUAGGCGGUUUGUCGCGUCUGCUGUGAAAGCCCGGGGCUCAACCCCGGGUCUGCAGUGGGUACGGGCAGACUAGAGUGCAGUAGGGGAGACUGGAAUUCCUGGUGUAGCGGUGAAAUGCGCAGAUAUCAGGAGGAACACCGAUGGCGAAGGCAGGUCUCUGGGCUGUUACUGACGCUGAGGAGCGAAAGCAUGGGGAGCGAACAGGAUUAGAUACCCUGGUAGUCCAUGCCGUAAACGUUGGGCACUAGGUGUGGGGGACAUUCCACGUUCUCCGCGCCGUAGCUAACGCAUUAAGUGCCCCGCCUGGGGAGUACGGCCGCAAGGCUAAAACUCAAAGGAAUUGACGGGGGCCCGCACAAGCGGCGGAGCAUGCGGAUUAAUUCGAUGCAACGCGAAGAACCUUACCAAGGCUUGACAUCCACCGGACCGCACUGGAGACAGUGUUUCCCUUCGGGGCUGGUGGACAGGUGGUGCAUGGUUGUCGUCAGCUCGUGUCGUGAGAUGUUGGGUUAAGUCCCGCAACGAGCGCAACCCUCGUUCUAUGUUGCCAGCACGUGAUGGUGGGGACUCAUAGGAGACUGCCGGGGUCAACUCGGAGGAAGGUGGGGAUGACGUCAAAUCAUCAUGCCCCUUAUGUCUUGGGCUUCACGCAUGCUACAAUGGCCGGUACAAAGGGUUGCGAUACUGUGAGGUGGAGCUAAUCCCAAAAAGCCGGUCUCAGUUCGGAUUGAGGUCUGCAACUCGCCCUCAUGAAGUAGGAGUC
rnacentral:rRNA from 1 species